AUGUCACCAAGUGAAUACAAGACCUGUGCCAACAGGACCCAGCAUGAUGUAAUCCUCAUGGUGUUUCUUUUUCUCUUAUCGCAGGAGAAGCCAGCGGCCCAGUAUCACCGCCGUCCUGUUAAGGUCUUACAAGACCUUGUCAUAGAAGACAUAGAGGAUGAGGAGCUGUUCCCUGAUGUGGAGAAGCCAGCGGCCCAGUAUCACCGCCGUACGUAUUCUGUUUCUUUUAAAACCUUACCGAG
rnacentral:lncRNA from 13 species